rnacentral:rRNA from 1 species
GAUGAACGCUGGCGGCGUGCCUAAUACAUGCAAGUCGAGCGAACAGACGAGUAGCUUGCUCCUCUGACGUUAGCGGCGGACGGGUGAGUAACACGUGGAUAACCUACCUAUAAGACUGGGAUAACUUCGGGAAACCGGAGCUAAUACCGGAUAAUAUAUUGAACCGCAUGGUUCAAUAGUGAAAGACGGUUUUGCUGUCACUUAUAGAUGGAUCCGCGCCGCAUUAGCUAGUUGGUAAGGUAACGGCUUACCAAGGCGACGAUGCGUAGCCGACCUGAGAGGGUGGUCGGCCACACUAGAACUGAGACACGGUCCAGACGCCUACGAGAGGCAGCAGUAGGGAAUCUUCCGCAAUGGGCGAAAGACGGACGGAGCAACGCCGCGGGAGUGAUGAUGGUCUUCGGAUCGUAAAGCUCUGUUUUUAGGGAAGAACAAAUGUGGAAGUAACUAUGCACGGCUUGACGGUACCUAGUCAGAAAGCCACGGCUAACUACGUG